AUAUUAUGAGCUCUGAAAAAAUAUUAUAUUUUUAUUUCAUCUAUUUUGUUGUUAAUUAAUUAUAUUUAUAUUUUCUUGAUUAUUAAAUCCAAAACUCAUACGCCUUUAAUCUUAAUUAUCAUAUUUUAGUUUCAUGUGUUCUGAGAAAAAUAAAAUAGCUUUUUAAUAGUCGAGCGUGAAUGUCCACAUAUUAUAAAUCUCGAGACUGUAAAAUUAGAUAUGGGACCCGUUAUCGUGCCUUAAAUUUCUAUCACCGUCUUUACGUCUAGCAAUUUGGUAACUAAAGACAAAUCAGCUUUGCCCUCCCGUCCCUUCCUGACUUUUUGAAUUUAGAAAAAAAUUGUCUUUUCCACCUUUUUCUACAAUUCAUCCAUCGUCGUCAUUAUCAAGAACCAUAUCAAACCAAUCAGUUCAACCACCAAAUAAAAUAAUAAUAAUAAUAACAAUAAUGACUGUUCAUUCUAAUUUGAUUUAUUUCCUUUUCUUUUCUUUUAUUCACAGGUAUGUAAAAUGUUUUCUCAUAGUUUUUUAAUUUUAUACUUUUUGUGUUUACUUUAUGCAAUCAAGCGAGUUCACUGAUUAUGGAUCUUGAAAACAUUUGCUACAAUCCUUCCUUGCCAUAUCUUCUGCAUAUGCUGUGAUUUCCACCUUUAAGUUUUUGGCAACUUGCAUUGGAGAGAUUUAUAUUAGGCCCUAACCAUUGCUAAAAGAUAAAGCUUUGAGUUGAGAAUAUGCUGCAAAAAGGAUUUCAAUGAAACCAGGAGACGCUGAGAAAGACCAUAGAUCUCCAAAACCUUUUGUAAUUAGAUUUUCACCCAUAAAAUUUUUAGAAAAAAUAUUAAUG
rnacentral:lncRNA from 1 species